CAAAAUGUAGCUUAAUUUAACUAAAGCCCUUCGCUUACACCGUAGGGAUAUCUGUGAAACUCAGAUCAUUUUGAG
rnacentral:tRNA from 1 species